rnacentral:ncRNA from 1 species
CAAGGUGAAGACGAACACAUUAAAAAUCGUCACAUUCCAGUGUGGUCAGUGCCCACACAUUUAAACAAAAACUGAUUUAAAAGAAUGUUUAGGAGGAAUAGCA